rnacentral:tRNA from 1 species
UUUCUAAAUUAGUUUAUUAUUAGUUUCUAACUAACAAUUUAUUGUUGCA